rnacentral:piRNA from 1 species
UGACAAAUGGAUUCUUAUACCCUGGAGCC